UCGAGUAUCUUCCGCAAUGGGCGCAAGCCUGACGGAGCGACGCCGCGUGCGGGAUGAAGGCCUUCGGGUUGUAAACCGCUGUCAGUGGGGAGCAAAUCGGUGGGGGCUAUCCCCCAUUGUUGAGCAAUCCGCAGAGGAAGCGCAGGCUAAGUUCGUGCCAGCAGCCGCGGUAACACGAACUGCGCGAACGUUAUUCGGAAUCACUGGGCUUAAAGAGUCCGUAGGCGGUUCGGUAGGUGGGGUGUGAAAGCCCACGGCUCAACCGUGGAAUUGCGCUCCAAACCACCGGACUAGAGGGAGAUAGAGGAGAGCGGAACUGAUGGUGGAGCGGUGAAAUGCGUUGAUAUCAUCAGGAACACCGGUGGCGAAAGCGGCUCUCUGGGUCUCUUCUGACGCUGAGGGACGAAAGCUAGGGGAGCGAACGGGAUUAGAUACCCGCGUAGUCC
rnacentral:rRNA from 1 species